rnacentral:rRNA from 1 species
ACGGGAGGCAGCAGUGAGGAAUAUUGGUCAAUGGAGGCAACUCUGAACCAGCCAUCUCGCGUGAAGGAAUACGGCCCUACGGGUCUUAAACUUCUUUUAUAGGGGGAUAAAGUGAGGCAUGCAUGCCUUUUUGUAGGUACCCUAUGAAUAAGCAUCGGCUAACUCCGUGCCAGCAGCCGCGGUAAUACGGAGGAUGCGAGCGUUAUCCGGAUUUAUUGGGUUUAAAGGGUGCGCAGGCGGGACAUUAAGUCGGCGGUGAAAUACCGUGGCCCAACCACGGGGCUGCCGUCGAUACUGAUGACCUAGAGUGCGUGUGACGUAGGCGGAAUGUGACGUGUAGCGGUGAAAUGCUUAGAUAUGUCACAGAACACCGAUUGCGAAGGCAGCCUACGAAUGCGUAACUGACGCUCAUGCACGAAAGCGCGGGUAGCGAACAGGAUUAGAUACCCUGGUA